rnacentral:hammerhead_ribozyme from 1 species
AUCCGGCUGACGAGUCUCAUAUAGGACGAAACGUAUGUUCUAGAU